CGACGUAUGUCCGAGGGAGGGUCUUGUGCAGGGAGUAUGUAAAUCGAGACCCCCUUAGCCCCCUCUUCAUGGCUGAAAUAGUUAUGUCUUUGUUGAGGUCCCAAACCUCGAGCGUGGCCACGUUGAAUCGCGUCACGAAAUAUCGGAGCGUCUCAUUUUCUCCCUGUUUGAGGGAAAAGAUUCGUGGCGGCUUCCGACUGGUGCUGAAGUGGGUCAC
rnacentral:lncRNA from 1 species